rnacentral:rRNA from 1 species
GACGAACGCUGGCGGCGUGCCUAAUACAUGCAAGUCGAACGCAGUGGGGCCGGGUGCGUAACACGUGGGUAACCUCCCAUCAGAGGGGAUAACACUUGGAAACAGGUGCUAAACCGAUACUGGUGGAUGAACCCGCGUUGCAUUAGCUAGUGGGUGAGGUAACGGGGCACCAAGGCCACGAUGCAUAGCCGACCUGAGAGGGUGAUCGGCCACACUGGGACGGAGACACGGCCCAGACUCCUACGGGAGGCAGCAGUAGGGAAUCUUGCGCAAUGGACGAAAGCCUGACGGAGCAACGCCGCGUGAGUGAAGAAGGUUUUCGGAUCGUAAAACUCUGUUGUUAGAGAAGCGUUAUCUAAACAGAAAGCAACGGCUAACUACGUGCCAGCAGCCGCGGUAAUUC